rnacentral:rRNA from 1 species
GACGAACGCUGGCGGCGUGCCUAAUACAUGCAAGUCGAACGAGUGGCGGACGGUUGAGUAACACGUGGGAACCUACCCAUCAGAGGGGGAUAACACUUGGAAACAGGUGCUAAUACCGCAUACUGAUGGAUGAACCCGCGGUGCAGUAGCUAGUGGGUGAGGUAACGGCUCACCAAGGCCUCGAUCUCUAGCGGGGCUAAGAGGAUGAACAGCAACACGUGGACUGGGACACGGACCAGAAUCCUAAGUGAGGCAGCAGUGGGGAAUAUUGCACAAUGGGCGCAAGCCUGAUGCAGCCAUGCCGCGUGUAUGAAGAAGGCCUUAGGGUUGUAAAGUACUUGCAGCGGGGAGGCGUUACCCGCAGAAGAAGCACCGGCUAACUCCGUGCCAGCCGCCGCGGUAAUAC